UCCGGGGUGGUGUAGUUGGCUAGCACGCGGCACUUUGGAUGCUGAGGCGGUUUGGGUUCGAAUCCUCCCCCCGGAA
rnacentral:tRNA from 1 species